AUUGAACGCUGGCGGCAGGCCUAACACAUGCAAGUCGAGCGGAUGAAGAGAGCUUGCUCUCUGAUUUAGCGGCGGACGGGCGAGUAAUGCCUAGGAAUCUGCCUGGUAGUGGGGGAUAACGUUCCGAAAGGAACGCUAAUACCGCAUACGUCCUACGGGAGAAAGCAGGGGACCUUCGGGCCUUGCGCUAUCAGAUGAGCCUAGGUCGGAUUAGCUAGUUGGUGAGGUAAUGGCUCACCAAGGCUACGAUCCGUAACUGGUCUGAGAGGAUGAUCAGUCACACUGGAACUGAGACACGGUCCAGACUCCUACGGGAGGCAGCAGUGGGGAAUAUUGGACAAUGGGCGAAAGUCUGAUCCAGCCAUGCCGCGUGUGUGAAGAAGGUCUUCGGAUUGUAAAGCACUUUAAGUUGGGAGGAAGGGCAGUAAGUUAAUACCUUGCUGUUUUGACGUUACCGACAGAAUAAGCACCGGCUAACUUCGUGCCAGCAGCCGCUGUAACAC
rnacentral:rRNA from 1 species